UAAAAGUCGUAACAAGGUUUCCGUAGGUGAACCUGCGGAAGGAUCAUUAUUGAAUAAACUUGAACAGGCUGUUGCUGGUCUCCCUUGGGGGGGGCAUGUGCACGCUUGUCAUCUUUAUUUCUCCAACUGUGCACAUAUUGUAGACCUGGAGUCGUCUUUGUUGAUUCAUUUCGAGUUGGCACUGCAGCGCUCACAAACCUGCUUUGCCUUUUUGCAUUCCCAGGUCUAUGUCAUUUUCACAACCUCAAUUGUGUUUAGAAUGUUGAAUCAGGUUUUGAUACCUAUAAAGUUAAAUAUACAACUUUCAGCAACGGAUCUCUUGGCUCUCGCAUCGAUGAAGAACGCAGCGAAAUGCGAUAAGUAAURUGAAUUGCAGAAUUCAGUGAAUCAUCGAAUCUUUGAACGCAUCUUGCGCUCCUUGGUAUUCYGAGGAGCAUGCCUGUUUGAGUGUCAUUUCUAGUUCUCAACUGCGUCGAUUUCUUAUUGAUGUGGCUUGGAUGUGGGGGAUUUAGCAGGCUUUCUGUCAAAGGAGGUCGGCUCCCCUGAAAAAUAUUAGUGGYAUCUGAGCUUACUACAGGUGUGAUAAUUAUCUAUGCCUUCAGUAUGCUAUUGCACUGCUUCCAACGAGUGAGAGAGAGAGAACCUCUCUCUCACAUUUGAYGAAUUUGACCUCAAAUCAGGUAGGACUACCCGCUGAACUUAAGCAUAUCAAUAAGCGGAGGAAAWGAAACUAACAAGGAUUCCCCUAGUAACUGCGAGUGAAGCGGGAAAAGCUCAAAUUUGAAAUCUGGCGGUCUUUUGACCGUCCGAGUUGUAAUCUAGAGAAGUGUUACCUGUGCU
rnacentral:rRNA from 1 species